UGAUGGUGAUGAUUGUGAUGGUGAUGGCGAUGAUGAUGAUAGUGAUGAUGAUGAUGAUCAUCAUCAUCAUCAUCAUCAUUAUCUUCAUCAACAACA
rnacentral:pre_miRNA from 1 species